CCCUUAGAUGUUCUGGGCUGCACGCGUGCUACAAUGGCGUUUCCAGCAAGUCUGCGAACCCGAGAGGGCCAGCGGAUCUUCGAAUUGGCGUCGUGAUCGGGACAGUCGAUUGCAAUUAUUUGACUCAAACGAGGAAUUCCUUGUAAUCGCGAUUCAUCAUAUCGCGCUGAAUACGUCCCUGCCCUUUGUACACACCGCCCGUCGCUCCUACCGAUUGAGCGAUCCGGUAAAUGUUUUGGAUUGGUGCCGGGGCGGCUAGCUACCGGUCGCUACGAAAUUUUGUGAACCUUAUCGCUUAGAGGAAGGAAAAGUCGUAACA
rnacentral:rRNA from 1 species